rnacentral:rRNA from 1 species
GACGAACGCUGGCGGCGUGCUUAACACAUGCAAGUCGAACGGAAAGGCCCUGCUUUUGUGGGGUGCUCGAGUGGCGAACGGGUGAGUAACUCGUGAGUAACCUGCCCUUGACUUUGGGAUAACUUCAGGAAACUGGGGCUAAUACCGGAUAGGAGCUCCUGCUGCAUGGUGGGGGUUGGAAAGUUUCGGCGGUUGGGGAUGGACUCGCGGCUUAUCAGCUUGUUGGUGGGGUAGUGGCUUACCAAGGCUUUGACGGGUAGCCGGCCUGAGAGGGUGACCGGCCACAUUGGGACUGAGAUACGGCCCAGACUCCUACGGGAGGCAGCAGUGGGGAAUAUUGCACAAUGGGCGGAAGCCUGAUGCAGCAACGCCGCGUGCGGGAUGACGGCCUUCGGGUUGUAAACCGCUUUCGCCUGUGACGAAGCGUGAGUGACGGUAAUGGGUAAAGAAGCACCGGCUAACUACGCG